GGGGAAUUUUUCCGCAAUGGGCGAAAGCCUGACGGAGCAAUACCGCGUGAGGGAAGACGGCCCAUGGGUUGUAAACCUCUUUUUUCAGGGAGGAAUAAAUGACGUGUACCUGAAGAAUAAGCAUCGGCUAACU
rnacentral:rRNA from 1 species